AAGGAUACGUUCGUUGGGUAGGGGAGCGUUCUGUAAGCCUGCGAAGGUGGCCUGUGAGGGUUGCUGGAGGUAUCAGAAGUGCGAAUGCUGACAUAAGUAACGAUAAAGCGGGUGAAAAGCCCGCUCGCCGGAAGACCAAGGGUUCCUGUCCAACGUUAAUCGGGGCAGGGUGAGUCGACCCCUAAGGCGAGGCCGAAAGGCGUAGUCGAUGGGAAACGGGUUAAUAUUCCCGUACUUGGUGUUACUGCGAAGGGGGGACGGAGAAGGCUAUGUUGGCCGGGCGACGGUUGUCCCGGUUUAAGCGUGUAGGUGUGUGUUCCAGGUAAAUCCGGUUCACUUUAACACUGAGGCGUGACGACGAGGCACUACGGUGCUGAAGCAACAAAUGCCCUGCUUCCAGGAAAAGCCUCUAAGCAUCAGGUAACAUCAAAUCGUACCCCAAACCGACACAGGUGGUCAGGUAGAGAAUACCAAGGCGCUUGAGAGAACUCGGGUGAAGGAACUAGGCAAAAUGGUGCCGUAACUUCGGGAGAAGGCACGCUGACACGUAGGUGAAGUGAUUUACUCAUGGAGCUGAAGUCAGUCGAAGAUACCAGCUGGCUGCAACUGUUUAUUAAAAACACAGCACUGUGCAAACACGAAAGUGGACGUAUACGGUGUGACGCCUGCCCGGUGCCGGAAGGUUAAUUGAUGGGGUCAGCGCAAGCGAAGCUCCUGAUCGAAGCCCCGGUAAACGGCGGCCGUAACUAUAACGGUCCUAAGGUAGCGAAAUUCCUUGUCGGGUAAGUUCCGACCUGCACGAAUGGCGUAAUGAUGGCCAGGCUGUCUCCACCCGAGACUCAGUGAAAUUGAACUCGCUGUGAAGAUGCAGUGUACCCGCGGCAAGACGGAAAGACCCCGUGAACCUUUACUAUAGCUUGACACUGAACAUUGAGCCUUGAUGUGUAGGAUAGGUGGGAGGCUUUGAAGUGUGGACGCCAGUCUGCAUGGAGCCGACCUUGAAAUACCACCCUUUAAUGUUU
rnacentral:rRNA from 1 species